GAAAUGUUGAGAAGGGUAGACUGAUGACUACCCCUCAGUGGAAACAGACCAGAUCUCAGCUUAUCUGGCUGGAAGGAAAGCAAAAAAACAAAGCAAAACCAACCAAAAAAUCCUAAGAAACAAAAGACAGAUUCAAGCCAAUCUGUGAUUUGUAAAAUAAGCCAGGUGCAGGCUUGUGUGCCUUCAGCUGAAUGUAAGAAGUCCAGCUAUCAUGAAGUCUCCAUGUGGACAGACAAUUCAGAGGAAUGAGAGAGAGAGAGACCUGAGCAGCUAGCAGUGCCAGCACCUAGAUGUUUGAAUCUUCCCAGCCCAGAUACAUGAUGGAAAAAACUUCAAGAUGCCCAUUGGACAGCAACCACAUGAAAGACCUGGAGUGAGAACUCCUAAGCUGAGAUCUCACUCUUUCAGACUCCAGAGCCAAAUAAAUAAUUAUUAAUGUUUAAGCCACU
rnacentral:lncRNA from 1 species